rnacentral:rRNA from 1 species
GUGGGGAAUAUUGGGCAAUGGGCGCAAGCCUGACCCAGCAACGCCGCGUGAGGGAAGAAGGCUUUCGGGUUGUAAACCUCUGUCCUUGGUGACGAAACAAAUGACGGUAGCCAAGGAGGAAGCCCCGGCUAACUACGUGCCAGCAGCCGCGGUAAUACGUAGGGGGCGAGCGUUGUCCGGAAUUACUGGGCGUAAAGGGUGCGUAGGUGGCCUUUUAAGUUGGAUGUGAAAUACCCGGGCUUAACUUGGGGGGUGCAUCCAAAACUGGGAGGCUAGAGUGCAGGAGAGGAAAGCGGAAUUCCUAGUGUAGCGGUGAAAUGCGUAGAUAUUAGGAGGAACACCAGUGGCGAAGGUGGCUUUCUGGACUGUAACUGACACUGAGGCACGAAAGCGUGGGGAGCAAACAGGAUUAGAUACCCUGGUAGUCC